UUCUGGGAGGAUUGACAGAUUGAGAGCUCUUUCCUCAUUCGGUGGGUGGUGGUGCAUGUCCGUUCUUAGUUGAUAGAGCGAUUUGUCUGGUUCACUCCGAUAACGAACGAGACUCGAGCCUAUUAAAUAGGUGCGUGGUUCUCUGCACCUUGCACCCUUCUUAGAGGGACAAGCGGCAAACAGAGCAAUAACAGGUCGGUUUAGCCCUUAGAU
rnacentral:rRNA from 1 species